GGUUUUCAAACCUGUCCCCAGGCCUCCCCAACAGGCCAGAUUUUCUGGAUUACCUUGGAUGAGAGCAGAAACAUGUCAAAGGGUCUAUAAAGACAUUACUGACCAUGAAAUGAGAAGAUGCAUAGGGGAUUGCCAAUCCCACACAAGAAUUGUUUGUGGUCACAGGCCGGUGCCAAAUUCAAGAUCAUAGAACAGAUACAGAUGGACAUCAUAUUAUAUUUUUGUUUUUCUGUCAACAUUAUUGUGCAUCUGCAUUAUACCUGUACCCUAGGCCUAUACUAUAAGUUAUUCUCUGGUUUAUUACAAUGUCAUAUUUAAAAUGUUUUAAUACCUGGAAAAUUUGAAGCCUAAUAAAACUUUAAAUUAUU